GCAUAUGGGCGUGGCCGAAUUUCUGUUUGCUUUUUGAAGAAGUGCUAGUUUCGGCAAAUGAACGUAUGUAGUAUUCAAGCGACGUUAUGCAUCCCAUGACUUUUGCAACGAGAGCGGCACGAACCCGUAGAUAGCCACACAUUAACUGCCAUCACUUAUCACCUUUUCCUUCUUUGCAUUAGUGAGAGCUGAUUGCACCGUGAAUCUUUUGGGCAGGAACGCAACGGCUGGUUAAGGUGGCACAGUAAAAGCGUCUGCUGAUGAAAGGGGGAAAUAUCGAGCUUGAGAAAUUCGUGAGUGAACAAUCAUUGAGUAUUCCGCGG
rnacentral:sRNA from 2 species